GAUGAAGAACGUAGCAAAUUGCGAUAAGUAUUGUGAAUUGCAUUAUUAGUGAAUCAUCGAAUCUUUGAACGCAUCUUGCGCUCUGGGGCUAUUCCCCAGAGCAUGACUGUUUGAGGGUUGUGUAUAUCAUCAUCCCCCUCCGAGUGGAAACACUAUGGAGUGAUUUUUGGGUAUGGAUAUUGGCUUGUUGUAGGAAUCUUUGAUUUCUACUAAGCUGAAAAACAUCAGUGGCUGAUUUCCAAUUUCUGGUAGCACAUAGUAAUGGCGUUAUAGUUUAUAUUCGCUGAUACUUUAUGUACAACCAUAAGAUUUUGGAGCUAUAAAGGCCUCUUCGAAGUAACACACACUUUUAACUCUUCAACCUCAAAUCAGUUAGGACUACCCGCUGAACUUAAGCAUAUCAAUAAGCGGAGGA
rnacentral:misc_RNA from 1 species